rnacentral:rRNA from 1 species
GGCCAUCGCUCAACGGAUAAAAGGUACUCCGGGGAUAACAGGCUGAUACCGCCCAAGAGUUCAUAUCGACGGCGGUGUUUGGCACCUCGAUGUCGGCUCAUCACAUCCUGGGGCUGUAGUCGGUCCCAAGGGUAUGGCUGUUCGCCAUUUAAAGUGGUACGCGAGCUGGGUUCAGAACGUCGUGAGACAGUUCGGUCCCUAUCUGCCAUGGGCGUUGGAGAUUUGAGAGGGGCUGCUCCUAGUACGAGAGGACCGGAGUGGACGAACCUCUGGUGUUCCGGUUGUCACGCCAGUGGCAUUGCCGGGUAGCUAUGUUCGGAAGCGAUAACCGCUGAAAGCAUCUAAGCGGGAAGCGCGCCUCAAGAUGAGAUCUCCCGGGGCACAAGCCCCCUGAAGGAACCAUGUAGACUACGUGGUUGAUAGGUCAGGUGUGUAAGUACAGCAAUGUAUUGAGCUAACUGAUACUAAUGAUCCGAGAGGCUUGACCAUAUAACCUCA